rnacentral:rRNA from 1 species
GGAGAUAGCCCGGAGAAAUUCGGAUUAAUACCCCAUACGAUUAAUAUCACACAAGUGACUUUAAGGAAAGCUUUGGCGGUAGAAGAUGGGCAUGCGUUCUAUUAGUUUGUUGGUAAGGUAACGGCUUACCAAGACUUCGAUAGAUAGGGGGCCUGAGAGGGUGAACCCCCACACUGGUACUGAGACACGGACCAGACUCCUACGGGAGGCAGCAGUGAGGAAUAUUGGACAAUGGAGGCAACUCUGAUCCAGCCAUGCCGCGUGCAGGAAGAAUGCCCUAUGGGUUGUAAACUGCUUUUAUUUAGGAAGAAACGCCAGUACGUGUACUGGUUUGACGGUACUAAACGAAUAAGGACCGGCUAACUCCGUGCCAGCAGCCGCGGUAAUACGGAGGGUCCAAGCGUUAUCCGGAACCAUUGGGUUUAAAGGGUCCGCAGGCGGGCUAUUAAGUCAGUGGUGAAAUCUCUUGGCUUAACCAAGAAAUUGCCAUUGAAACUACUAGUCUUGAAUUCGGUCGAAGUGGGCGGAAUGUGUCAUGUAGCGGUGAAAUGCAUAGAUAUGACACAGAACACCGAUA